GAUGAACUUUGGCGGCGUGCUUAACACAUGCAAGUCGAACGAAGCACCUUGAUUUGAUUCUUCGGAUGAAGAUCUUGGUGACUGAGUGGCGGACGGGUGAGUAACGCGUGGGUAACCUGCCUCAUACGGGGGGAUAACAGUUAGAAAUGACUGCUAAUACCGCAUAACACCACAGCACCGCAUGGUGCAGGGGUAAAAACUCCGGUGGUAUGAGAUGGACCCGCGUCUGAUUAGGUAGGUGGUGGGGUAACGGCCUACCAAGCCGACGAUCAGUAGCCGACCUGAGAGGGUGACCGGCCACAUUGGGACUGAGACACGGCCCAAACUCCUACGGGAGGCAGCGGUGGGGAAUAUUGCACAAUGGGGGAAACCCUGAUGCACCGACGCCGCGUGAGCGAUGAAGUAUUUCGGUAUGUAAAGCUCUAUCAGCAGGGAAGAAAAUGACGGUACCUGACUAAGAAGCACCGGGCUAAAUACGUGCCAGCAGCCGCGGUAAUACGUAUGGUGCAAGCGUUAUCCGGAUUUACUGGGUGUAAAGGGAGCGUAGACGGAGUGGCAAGUCUGAUGUGAAAACCCGGGGCUCAACCCCGGGACUGCAUUGGAAACUGUCAAUCUGGAGUACCGGAGAGGUAAGCGGAAUUCCUAGUGUAGCGGUGAAAUGCGUAGAUAUUAGGAGGAACACCAGUGGCGAAGGCGGCUUCC
rnacentral:rRNA from 1 species